AGUGAACGCUGGCGGUAGGCCUAACACAUGCAAGUCGAACGGCAGCACAGUAAGAGCUUGCUCUUACGGGUGGCGAGUGGCGGACGGGUGAGGAAUACAUCGGAAUCUACUUUUUCGUGGGGGAUAACGUAGGGAAACUUACGCUAAUACCGCAUACGACCUACGGGUGAAAGCAGGGGAUCUUCGGACCUUGCGCGAUUGAAUGAGCCGAUGUCGGAUUAGCUAGUUGGCGGGGUAAAGGCCCACCAAGGCGACGAUCCGUAGCUGGUCUGAGAGGAUGAUCAGCGACACUGGAACUGAGACACGGGCCAGACGCCUAAGGGAGGCAGCAGUGGGGAAUAUUGGACAAUGGGCGCAAGCCUGAUCCAGCCAUACCGCGUGGGUGAAGAAGGCCUUCGGGUUGUAAAGCCCUUUUGUUGGGAAAGAAAAGCAGCAGGUUAAUACCCCGCUGUUCUGACGGUACCCAAAGAAUAAGCACCGGCUAACUUCGUG
rnacentral:rRNA from 1 species